GUGGGGAAUAUUGGGCAAUGGGGGCAACCCUGACCCAGCGACGCCGCGUGAGGGAAGACGGCCUUCGGGUUGUAAACCUCUUUUGUACGGGAAGAAGGAAGUGACGGUACUGUACGAAUAAGUCCCGGCUAACUACGUGCCAGCAGCCGCGGUAAUACGUAGGGGACGAGCGUUGUCCGGAAUUACUGGGCGUAAAGGGCGCGCAGGCUGUGCUGCAAGUCAGCUGUGAAAUGUCUGGGCUUAACCCGGGCAUGCGGUUGAGACUGCAGUGCUGGAGUGCUGUAGAGGCAAGUGGAAUUCCCAGUGUAGCGGUGAAAUGCGUAGAUAUUGGGAAGAACACCGGUGGCGAAGGCGACUUGCUGGGCAGCAACUGACGCUGAGGCGCGAAAGCCAGGGGAGCAAACGGGAUUAGAUACCCUUGUAGUCC
rnacentral:rRNA from 1 species